rnacentral:tRNA from 1 species
GAAUUUGAAGCGAAGAAUUGCCAUUAGUUUCGACCUAAUUUUUGAUAAAUAUUAUCCUAAUUCU